GUUUGAUCCUGGCUCAAAAUCAACGCUGGCGGCGCGCUUAACACAUGCAAGUCGAACGAGAAAGUCCGCAAGGAUGAGUACAGUGGCGUACGGGUGAGUAACACGUGGGUAAUCUACUCUUUGGUGGGGAAUAACUCUGGGAAACCGGAGCUAACACCGCAUAAGCCUGAAAAGGGAAAAAAGAAAUCUGCCGAAGAAGGAGCCCGCGGCUGAUUAGCUAGUUGGUGAGGUAAAGGCUCACCAAGGCGAUGAUCGGUAGCCGGCCUGAGAGGGCACACGGCCACACUGGCACUGAAACACGGGCCACACUCCUACGGGAGGCAGCAGUGGGGAAUCUUGCACAAUGGGGGAAACCCUGAUGCAGCGACGCCGCGUGAACGAUGAAGCCCUUCGGGGUGUAAUGCUCUUUCGGCCAGAACGAUAAUGACGGUACUGGAAAAAGAAGCUGCGGCUAACUACGUGCCAGCAGCCGCGGUAAUACGUACGCAGCGAGCGUUGUUCGGAGUUACUGGGCGUAAAGCGUGCGUAGGCGGUUUUCUAAGUUUGGGUGUGAAAUCUCCCGGCUCAACUGGGGAGGGUGCGCCGAAAACUGGGAAGCUGGAGUAUGGGAGAGGUAGGCGGUUUUCCUGGUGUAGCG
rnacentral:rRNA from 1 species